CGCCUGUUAACAAAAACAUGUCCUUUUGAAUAUAUAUAAGGUCUAGCCUGCCCAAUGAGGUUUUAAAUGGCCGCAGUAUUUUGACUGUGCAAAGGUAGCAUAAUUAUUAGUUUUUUAAUUGAAAGCUUGUAUGAAAGGUUGGACGAGAUAAAGUCUGUCUCUAUUUAAAUAAAAGUAGAAUUUAACUUUUAAGUCAAAAGGCUUAAAUGUUUAUAAAAGACGAGAAGACCCUAUAGAUCUUUAUUUAAUUAAAAUUUUAAUAGUUUAAGAUUAUUUUAGUUUAAAUUUUUAAUUAAAUUUUAUUGGGGUAAUAUAAAGAUUAAAUAAAUUCUUUUUAUUAAUUACAUUGAUUUAUGAAUAUAUGAUCCAAUAUUAUUGAUUAUAAGAUUAAGUUACCUUAGGGAUAACAGCGUAAUUUUUUUGGAGAGCUCAUAUCGAUAAAAAAGUUUGCGA
rnacentral:rRNA from 1 species